rnacentral:rRNA from 1 species
UACGUAGGGUGCGAGCGUUGUCCGGAAUUACUGGGCGUAAAGGGCUCGUAGGUGGCCAACUAAGUCAGACGUGAAAUCCCUCAGCUUAACUGGGGAACUGCGUCUGAUACUGGAUGGCUUGAGUUCGGGAGAGGGAUGCGGAAUUCCAGGUGUAGCGGUGAAAUGCGUAGAUAUCUGGAGGAACACCGGUGGCGAAGGCGGCAUCCUGGACCGACACUGACACUGAGGAGCGAAAGCCAGGGGAGCAAACGGG